UACAAAUUCAUCAUGGAUCUUAAGAUAUUACCAAAAUCCUAACAGUAGCUUCAAAACCUUAAUUUUUAUAUACUUACAUAUAAUUUUCUUUAUAUCUCACAAACUAAGUACUCAAAUAUCAAAUUUUUUAUAUAUAUAGCUUUUUAAUACAUUAUUCCACCUUUUUUAAAAUAUUUGAGCCAAAAAUUCAUUCGACAACUUAAGAUAUGGCUCUAAUCAUUACUUUGAAUAAAAUCACUUACUUAUUGCCUUUAAUUUAAAUGUAUUGACUUCAACUCUCUAUAACUUCUUCAUCUAGACUUUAAAUAUAAUAAUUUCUUUAUAAAAGAUGUAAGUCAUGAAAUUGCCGUUCUAAUUGCACCUUUUAAUCUCAAAAAACUAUUGUAAAAUUCCUCGUAUGCUCAAAAGAACAAUAGUAUGUCUUAAAAUGAUAUCUUAACUUCAAGUAGCUAUAAUUUCUUCAACUUAACUCCAAACUCACUAAUUUUUAUAUCCAAAUUAUAGUCCAAAUCCUAAAACUUAUAAUUCUAGCUUUUGAUUCUCAAAUGUUCUUUUGAGGUCACUACAAAAUCUUCUCAUGGUUGCAGACUAUCUCCUAAAAGCCUAUUGGGCAUACCCUUCGAUCAAUAGGGAUGAAGAUCUUCAUCUGUUAUCUUCAUCCAUCCAUACUUUACCUUCAUCCCUCCAAAUAAGCUUCUUAAUAGUUUGAAUCUUCAACUUUGAGCUCCAAUCUUCUCUUAUAACUUUAUUCUAAAUAUCUAAAUCUUAUAUAAUUUAAACACUAUAAUAAAUAUAAAUAAACCUCAAAAUAA
rnacentral:lncRNA from 1 species